rnacentral:rRNA from 1 species
UACGAGGGGGGCGAGCGUUGUUCGGAAUUAUUGGGCGUAAAGGGUGCGUAGGCGGUUUUGUAAGUCUUAUGUGAAAUCUAUGGGCUCAACUCAUAGACUGCAUGAGAAACUGCAGGGCUUGAGUAUGGGAGAGGUGAGUGGAAUUCCUGGUGUAGCGGUGAAAUGCGUAGAUAUCGUGAGGAAGACCAGUGGCGAAGGCGGGUCUCUGGACAGUUCCUGACACUGAGGCACGAAGGCCAGGGGAGCAAACGGG